AGUCAUAGCAUUAAGCUGUAAGAUGCAUUGGAAUGUGUUGAAUCUGGCUGCUCCUACAGAAUGCCUGUAUUUCCCUCAUCUCAGUUUUUGGUUGUUAUAAUAUAUAAUGCUGAAAUCAAUGUUCUUUCCUAUAAAUGUGUGGCACAGCGGGUCAAACCGCCACCUGCAAUGUGUGCAUCCAUAUUGGCGCUGGUUCACACCCUGGCUGCUCCACUUCCAAUCCAGAUUUCUGCUAAUGGCCUGAGAAAAGCAGAGGAACCUGGCCCAAGUGCCUGGGCCCCUGCCACCCACUGGGGACACUGGAUUAAGCUCCUGGCUUUGGACUGACCCAGGCUUGACUUGUAGCAGCCAUCUUGGGAGUGAAUUGGCAGAUAGAGACUCGAUCUCUCCCUGCCCCGCUUUGUAACUCUAGCUUUCAAAUAAAUUUUUAAAAGAAUAAUAAAAUAAGAGACAUAAAAUUGUACAUGUUUAACAGGCACUAUGUAUGUAUGGGCAAACAAAAUCCCUAAUGCACACUCAUUGGAGGAAAUGGUACCAAUUUUGCCAUCUUGUUCUCUUGUGAAUGCUGUUUAAACUUUAUGUGUCAAGGUCAUGGUCGUUGCCUCCAUCUUCUGAACUUUAAGCCUGAAACACCGUCUCCAGCCCCACGUGACAGUAUCGUGUGGAUUGUUGGAGGACUUCCUGGUCCACCGGGGCUGCGCGGCUCUGGGCGCCCCUGACAGGCCGCUCUCCUGCAAUCCACGACCCCAGACCUGGGGACUGGCCCGCGCGGCCGAGGUCGAGGGCGGUGUCCCUCGUGCAGCGGGGGCGGUUGUGCUGGAGCGAGCUCCGAGGCGGGCGUCCCAGGGCCACGCGGGAUGUCCUCUCCCUGCCCGGCGGGAGGGAGGUGGUCCAGGUCCGUGCACCUCCAUGCUCCUGUCUGGCUCUGCCCCUAAACCCACAGAGGCAGGACCUGCAGCUGCGGAGAGUUGACUGCAUUGUUCCAAAGCUGCAGCCCUCACUGAACAGAAAAAAUGUCCAUGAGGAGUUGUUACCCCCAGGAUACUGAAGCGUGUCAGUGACAAGGACACAGCUACCCAGAAUGUUGAAGUAUCCCAGACACAACAGCACCAUCACACAGGAUAUCGAAGCCACCCAGAUGCAAAGAUACAGCUAUACAGCGAUUCACCUGGCGUCCAGCAGGGGGCGGCGGGCAGAAAGUCCGCAAUUGUGAGCCUCCCGCCCGGUGGGCCCGCGCCUGGAGGUGGUGCCCAGGGCCCCUUGGCUGCGCGGUGGCUGCGCAUGUGCGCAUGAGCGCGUGUCUCGGGCAGCUCCCCAGGCUGCACCCCCCUGAAGAGCACGCCCUGGGUUCCUUUUCGUUGCCACCUGCUGCUCCUGACCGAGCCGCUGAUGCCUGAGGGGGAACUAGCAGCAGAGAAGCGCUGUGUUCCAGAAUGUUCUCAGAUCCCACAGGGAAGGCUCCUGCGACGGACAGAGCAGCCUGAGUCCCGCUCGGGCCCUGGAGGGCGCCCACGGGGAAUUCUCCGGCUCUCACGAGGACUUAGCUGCUGCGUUCACACGUGGACCUGCUGCUUCCAGACUGUCCGGGUCAUGCACAUGUGCACUGGGAGCCCAGACCCGUGCCUCCGCUGCGGCCCUGCCUGCGUUUCUGAAGUCCCGGGCCGCACCACGCCAUCCAUGCGUCCUUCCGACCUGUGCUGGCCUCCUGCCACAGGUCACCUGUCCCUGGUGCGGAGCGUCAGCGGCGGGAAGGGCCUGUGUGAGUAACUUGUCUUGCUGAGAAGCGAUGCAGGGGUGUUUCAGAUGCAGCUGUGAUCCCGCAGCCGCCCAGCAGAGAGAGCCCAUGGCGAGCGAGCAGCAGAGCGUCCCGGUCAGGAGGCCAGGAGUGCGCAUGUGCAGCCCUGGAGACCACUAAGAAUAGAAACUGAGCAGAUUCCGUACUAUUUUUAAAGAUUUAUUUAUUUAUUUAUUUAUUUGAAAGAGUUACACAGAGGAGAGGCACAGAGAAAGAGACGGCUUCCAACUGCUGGUUCACUCCCCAGUUGGCCACAGCGGCCGGAGCUACACCCAUCUGAAGCCAGGAGCCUGGAGCCUGGAGCUUCAUCCAGGUCUCCCACCUGGGUGCAGGGGCCCAAGGUCUUAGGCAUCUUCCACUGCUUUCCCAGGCCAUAGCAGGGAGCUGGAUUGGAAGUGGAGCAGCCAGGACUCGAACCGGCGCCCAUAUGGGAUGCCAGCACUGCAGGCGGCGGCUUCACCUGCUACAGCACAGCACUGGCCCUGUUUCUGUACUAUUUGAGAGAAAUAGUUACAUACGAAGACAACCAGAGUAAAUCUGAGGUAUAAAUGAAAUUCUGGGGGGAAAACCAAAAUGGGGAAACAAAGGUAAUGCUGAAAAUAAUUCAGUUUUUUCCGUCAAUGGAAAUGUACUUUAGACUGCUGGGUUUUGAGAAAACUCCUCUGGGCAUCUAGACGGAAAGAAGUGACCUAGAAAGGUGUGCAUUAGCAGGACGCUGGACUGGAAGCAGAGAACCUUGGACUCAGACUGUUUGCGUCGGGGUCCCGGGCUGGGGUUCUUCCAGAGUCUUCCCUCCACACAGAGACAAAGAUGCAUAGGAAAGCAGGAUUUAUGGAAAGCACAGGAAAAGUGCACGUUUAAGAGCUAAGCCAGGCCAGCGAGAGAGAGAGAGAGAGAGGAAGGGGGGAGGGAGAGAGAGAGGAAGGGGGAGAGAGAGAGAGAGAGAGAAUAGAAAAAAGACUUCAGCGCUGCAGAAACCCCCCGCGAGGCUCAGGCCCUGCUUUCACGUGAUUGGUGGAUGUGGGAGGUGGCGUCUGGGGCAGGACUUAACUGAAUUUGAAAAUACCGGUUGUCAGGCACCAGAGGGGAUGGGAGUGGGAGUGCUGGCCGUGGUAACUCAGUAGGGUGGCGUGCCCAUGACCGGAGGUCAUCGCGGGGCGCCCUGCAGCCGUAUUGCGCAUUCCAGCUGGCGCUGGGGGAACGUUGGCUGCACUGAGGAACUUGCUGGCUCUUGGUAUUUGGAAGCUGGUGGGUUGGUGGCGCGUGGGAGGUGGGGUGGGUGCUGUGCAGAAAGGGAGCUCUGGGGUGCCAGCUGGGCCGGGCUGUCAGGCGGGGUCAGCUGCAGCUGCUGUCACCUGGCGAGUCCCCCCCCUGGGGCCGUCCCAUGAUGGGCUGGGCCAGAGCUGGCAGGUGGUGGGCGGCACUGCUGCGUGUGUUGGCUGAGCUGCCCAGUAGUGGCCCACAGUGCCACGGGAGUUGGCUGGGGCUGGCUAACCUCGGCUCCUCCCCUUGCUACCUCCCUCCCCCCUGGUUGCCCGGAACCAGGCCCUCAGAUGUGGGUGUGGGCGUCCCACCCCUGCCCCAGGUAGGCUUCAGUGAGGAAGCGGUCAGGUGGUGCUCGCGGGAGGACGCUGUCCCCUGGUGAGUUUCAUGCGAGAAAAGCAGCUAGUGCUGGGUGACCGACUCCAGAGAAGACUCCACCACGGCACACUGAAAGGAGACUCUCGGUGUGCAGCAUGGCUCUGAAGUACCUGGACAGGGCUGGAUCCCGGUCACCGGGAGCUCAGCGGCGGGAGUGAGGGUACUUGAUGGAGGGCUGCUGCGCACAGAGGGGCGCUGUGAGGGGCGACGUGGCUGCUCUGCGUCUCCUCCUGUGUUGUUCAAGCUUCCGAUGGCUUGGGAAGCUCCGGUUCCUCUGAGACUCGGACUCCACAUUGCAGACUUCCAAGGAAUUAAAGGGAUCCGUCCCUAGAUACAGAGCAGGGAUCACCAGGCAGGGCACAGAGGAGGCAGGAGGGCUUCACUGGGCUCGGUGUGCGGACUGGGAGGCCCCUGAGGCCCUGGAAGUGACUGGACCCCGACCUUCCAGUGCUCAGGGCCACAGGUCCCUGGGGCCUGGCCGCUUCCUUCUGCUGACAGUGCUGUCCACCAGCAGAGGGGAGAGAGCCAUGCUGCACAAGGGAGUCCCCCUAGGCACUCGCCUGGGCAGCCCUCGGGGGCUCGGCCCCCUCGGCAGUGAACCUGAAGCCCAGGAAAGGGGAGGUCUCUGGGCCCUGGGGAGAAGCCGAGGCCCCCUGGGCCCUCGGAGGAGCAGGAGGUUGAGGACAGAGGGCGGAGUGCUGGCCCUGCCGCCCCAGCUGACCCCAAGGGACCCCUCCUGGAGCUGCGUGCUGACUGUCGAAAAGUCGCCCGAGCUCUUUGGUUUUCUCUCCCCGUUCUGUUGGAAAAUAAUUUUGUUGUGUUGGAGACACUGAAGUAUAUUUCAGCCCCAGCAGAGCACUUCUGCACGCCCCAAACACUGCAGGGCAGGAGAAGCCAAGGCCAGCGUCACCCUUCCCUGGGGCCUCGCUCUCGGGCUCGGUGGGGCCCGGCUCACCUGCUCCUGCUGCAGCUCCGGCACGGACAGUCGGGUUGCUCAGCGUGACGUCACAGUGCAGCCUGGGGGUCAGGAGUGAGGGCGCAGCUGAUGACGUGGGAGAGGGGGCUGCAGAGAGACCGCACCAGCAUCCCGGGUGCAAGUGUGUCCACUGCUGUAAUCAUCACAUGUGGGAAAGGGAGUGAGGAGGGGCAAGGACAGGAGCGGAGGAGGAGGAGGAAGGCGGAUCAGGAGGAAUCCAGCUCCCUGCAAACCUCCACUUCCUCCUGUCUUCUCAUUGCCAUGUCGCCUUCUGCGUGCAGGAGCAGUGGCUGUGGCAGGGCGCCCUGGGAGUGAGAGGGAGGGCAGGGUGGACUUGAGGUACAGGCUCAGGCCCCGCUGCUCAUCGGAUGACGUAGCCCAACCUCACGACCCUCUUGCGUCCUCACCUCUACACCCCUCUCCCAGUGCCUGGUGCUUCACCUUGAAAUGAAUGCAUGGUCCCUGCACUCACACGUAUUCCUCCACCCCUCCCAUUGCAUCCCUGCGGCUAGGAAGGGACUCCCGUGUCAUCCUCCGUCUCCCUGACUCUGUGUGGGAAGCCGUCUUGAUUCUCUCGUGUUUCCUUCCUCGAUGAAGUGUCAGGGCUUCCACAGCAGGGCUUGUGCAGAUCAAGGGCACUCACUAGAGUGUUCACUGAGCAGGUGGACUGGGAGGGCAGGGCACCUGCGGCCUGGGGAUAGGAGAGAUCUCAUCUGGGCAUGCGUGGAGUGGGGGGAACAGGGAAGCUCCGGAUGGCCAGAGCAGUGAUGGAGAAGCAGGGACGCGGCCCUGACGCCCAGAGGCCCUGUGCUGACCCUGGGCCGUCCCAGGAGGGGAGGUCAUGGAGCCGUGAGGCCGCUGUGUGCUGCAAGCCCAGCCGCGCCUGCACAGAUGUCCUCUGGGCUCCCUGCCUGGCCACGGGGUCUCCAGGGGAGCUGGACGUGGGGCUCUGAGUGGACGCCAAUGCCAGGAACCAGACGUGGGGGAGAUUGGAAGAACUCGGGGUUGUGCUUGCCCCCAACUUCUCUGAGAGGCUGGGGCCUCUCCCUUCACCCCAGAGGAAGUGUUCUUCAGCAUCCCCCACCACGGGAGGACCUUGUGACCCCAGAGGAGACAGGACAGAGCACAGAGGAGCUGCCCCAAGCCCUGGACGCAGAGGAAGGAGCCCGCUGCUCCCCACCGCCCGGAACUCGCUGCAGGAAGGCGUGGCUCCCGCAGGUGCCCUGGUGGGCGUCCUGUCAGCCCCGCCCUUCUGUCUCCUGCUGCUUGAGUUGAGGAUGCGGCAAGAGGCCCCUGGGACCACACGCCCUGGGCCUUGGACGCGGGCUCUCCAGCCUUCAGAACGGUGAGAAGUUGAUUUCUGUUCCUAACAGUUACUGGGUCGUCAGGAAUUUCUGAUAGCAGUGAAAACGGGCAUAGACAGCAGUCAGCACCAGCCCACACACCAGUCUCGUGGACCGAAUUCCGAGGGUGCUGCUGCAGCGGCACCCACGGCUGUGGGAUUUGCUGCAGUGCAGGCAGGACACACUUCCAGGAGAGGCAGGUCUGUGAAUACCAGAGCAAGAAAGGAGCAGGGAGACUCUGGUUGACGGGAACUCUCCUACUGUAUCAUCAAGACAGAGAAGGAGGGGCCGGCGUUGUAGAAUAGUGGGCUAAGUUGCUACUCUAGAGAACUGAGUCCCACCCUGGAGUGCCUGGAUUGGGAGUCCUUCCAGCUUCCUGCUCACGCACACACGGGCAGGCAGGUGAUGGCUUCACUGUCCGGGCACGUGCCACUCAGGUGCGACACCUGGAUUCUUUUCCCUGGCUCCAGGCUUCAUGGCUGUUUGGGGAGGGAACAGCUAGAAUCCAAGGAGAGCUGGAUUCACCGCCCUGGCCCUACCUGUUACAGUCAUUUGGGAAGUGAACAAGUAGGUAGGAGGCGUCUCUCUCUCUCUCUCUCAACUAAAAUGAAAAUAAACAAAUGAAUGAAUAAAUAAAAGAUGCCCUUGGCCAUAAAAACGAGCGGCAAGGACAGGUGGACGCGGGCUCAGCCCCCGCUACUGGGCUGACCCUCGCCUGUGCCUGAGCCCCCGCCCUGCGCUACCACCGCAGGGUUCCCGCUGCACUGGUCCCAGCUCCACUUCCAAUCCCAGGUUCCUGCUAAUGCACACCCUGGCCGGCAGUGAUGGCUCCUAUACGUGGGUCCCCGCCACACCCAUGGCUGGGCAGACUGGUUCAUGGUGCCCACUUU